rnacentral:lncRNA from 1 species
GAAUUGUAUGAAGCAGAGCAUCAUUCAGUCUGGCAGAGACUACAGAAUCCAAGCAAGUUUGGUGAGGACUAAAUAUCUGGAGAAGAAUAAGAGGGUGGAACAAAUCCAGUGGGAACAAGGUGAUCCUUUACCAGAAGACAUCAGUAGCUCUGCAUUUUUGAAGGAAGAAGAAAGAAAAUAGUCAUUUUACUUCUCAGCUCAAAUCUAUCUUGGAAUUACAACUAUCCUUGGUUCUGGCAGAACAUCCAUUUUAUUUAGCAUCAGAGGCAACUUUUCUU